GGCAGUGGUGGCUCAGUGGUUAAGGCUCUGGGCUGCUGAUCAGAAGGUCGUGAGUCCAAGCCCCAGCACUGCCA